UUUCCGCGGAUCGCGUGCGGUACCUCCGGAAGACCAACUUGGGUCCCGUUUCCUGAUGGUUCGGGGGACCAACUUUUUUCCCCRCCUUGAAAAACUGCCCUCCGUCCGAAAGGAUGGGGGCCGCCUGGCUUCCAAAAUAGGGKGGUYRCRGGAWUCCGSCMAUUAUCACAAGUAUAAAAAUUUCCCWACUUCUUAUAUCAUGGCUCAAGCCAAAAAAAAAAUUGCCAAAAUCCGUUAAACUUUGUGUAAUGGGCACAACCUUGGAAACCCCCGUCUCUGGGAACAAAAGUUGACCCUUUCCUUUAAGGGUCCAUGGCACCUUUGAGGGGGGGGUUUUGGGAAUUCCCCCGAAAACCCAACACVAAUCCAACCCAAAUUUAAYUCCCAA
rnacentral:misc_RNA from 1 species